CAGCCCAGGUGACCUGGCCUGCUGCGGGGAGAGAGGCAGGCGCCUGGUUCCCCUUCUCCUCCCCGCUCCUCUACACUCCUGGUGAAUUUGUGCCAGUUGGGAACAUGCUGCGUGGGAACUUUUCCGAGGUUCCCUAGUAAUAGCGAAAGGAAACCAUCAUCGUAUCCCCAUUCUUUUGAAUGUAACUGUAAAGAGAAAAAGGUUUCUUACCCUAUUUUUAAACUAAGGCAGGAGAAAACCCUGAUCCUUCCAGAGACGCAGCAAAAAUGUUGCCGCUCAAGAGGCAGACAGCUGUCUUUUAUGGCUCUGAUAUCUCUGAGCCUGGGACUUGUUGCUCAGUCUUGAGCUCAACCAUAUUUUCCUCUAUAAAGAUGAACUUUAGAGGCAGUCAGUUGCUUCUGAGGGGCAAUGUAGUUGUUCACAUCCAGCCUUUAUCCUGAAAGGGCUGAUUUGUUUGAAUUCUGCACCUUUGGAGGAUGGGUCUUGUUGCUCCCCUUUUGUACCUUUGGCCUCUCUGCAGCUUAUAACUUAAAGCUAAACCUUAUAACCUAAAGCUGUUCUAGGGAAGAGACCUAGUAGUUAUUUUUUAGAAAAGUGUAUAUCUGCAUCAUAUUAAUUAGUACAUUUUGAUAAGUACAAUAUGUUUUGGAGACACACAAAGGUGCUUCUUGGUGAGAUUCUCAUUGCCACUUGGCUUGGUUUUCAUAUGGAAUUCUUCUCCCCAGAUUGUACUGACUAAAGUUUUUUCUUGUGAAACUGAAGGAGCAAAACAGACUUUCCUGGUUAGUGCAGGUGACUCUGGGGAAAUAGCCUGCCACGAGAUUUUUUGUCUUUGAUAGCAGUAUCAUUGUGAUCUUGGCAGGCUGGUGUUUUUGGUCUCUGAGAUUUCAGCAUAGGAAUCACUUGAUGUUUGAAUACUGUAUUUUCUAGGCUGGGCUGAUAGUGUACAAACUGAUUUUUUGGGAUAUCUUAUAAAGUUUGUGGGCUUUAAGGUAUAAUAUAAUGUUGAAUGUCGUGUAAUACACAAAACUGGAAUUCCACAUUGCAUUGCAUUUGUUGUGGACUGGUCAACUUUGCAAUCUUACUCCCUAAAAAAAAAAAAAGGAAGUUAUUUUGAAAAUUAAAUUAAUUUUGAAUUAGUUAAAAUUUACACUGAUAAUCUGAAGAAGUAGAUAUUAAUACAUUGUUGUGUCACUUUCACUUUUGCUUAUAUAAUCUCCCCACUUAUCUGAACACAUACCAGAAUAAGAGAUUUGCUCAGGAGGCUCCUGCAGUGGUUUCCCUUACACAACAACUGCCUCUUGCCUGGCUGUCGCAGAAAUCCUGGGCUGUUUUCUUUUGGGAUCUUUGGAAUCUGCCUUCUGCAAUACUGUUUCACCUUGUUUCUUCCUGACUGAACCAAAGCUACGGGUUUAAAACUCUGCAGUGCGUAGUGCAGAUGUUUUCUUGCCUGCCCUUGCAGUGCUGUCACCUCCCUGGUCCUGGGCAGGGACGGCUGCUGAUGUGUCAUGCUUGGGGCAGUCCCCAAGUCCUGUGCGCUUAGGGCUUGGUGACACUUUGACUCACACAGGAUUUCUCAUCCUGGUCAUCUGCUGGCCCCUGUGUUUGUGUAGCUGUGAAGUGACAUGGACUGGGGAAGGAGUCCACUACAAACAAUACAGCAAGAAGUCACAAAAAUAGGGUUUUUGAACUGCAUCAGUUCUUUGGUUUGAUUUGGUGCACAAAUGUUUGUGAGGGUGCAGCACAGGGUGAGCGGAAUAGGGUGUGUGACUUCUUAGACAGGUACUGCUGCCAAGAAGUUACUCCUAAAAAAGUCUUCAUUGCACAAGACUUGUUCAUGAGAUUUUGUGGCACCUGCUUAGCUCUUUCUGGUCUGCCUCCAAGUCAGCCUACCUGGCCAUCUGCCCCAGUGCUGAGAAGGCUGGUUUGGGUGCAACAACGCAGGAAAACCGCUAGAGAAAAACCUUAAAUAAGGAAGGGCAUGGCCAAGCCCCUCCAAACAGCCUUAGGCCUCUUCUUUUUGCCCAGCAGGUGUUUGCAGAGUCUGAACUCCUGGCCCAUGUUGGACUGACCCUGUCUGUGCUCAAGUGGACUUGUACAGCCCAUUUGGACAGGGACACACCACAGUGUCCAGCUGGCAGGGUGGCCAUGCAGAUCUGCACCAGGGACAGGACAAGGAGCAGGAGUUUAUCCAUCCCUCCAGCCUUGCUUAUCACCCAAAAUGGUGUCCCUGGGGGUCCAGGCUGGAGGUGGGAGCAGGGCCUGACUGAUCCCCACUGCAGGAAACACCCUGCCUUCCUCUUCAGGAGCUCUGGGGGAGCCUGGAGGCGGUGGUAGGUUUGAGGCAAACAUAAUGUCAUGCUAUUUCUGUAGCUGUAACCCCAGCAACUCUCCCUCUUUUACAUAAUAUCCUCACUUGGAUAAGGCCAAAGAGGAACUGGGAUUUUUUUACCAUGUGGGUGGCAUCUUGGAUAUAGUGAUGGUUAACAGGAAACUCUCCUCCCCAGCCACAAGGGCUGUUUUAGAUAGAUGGGGAUUUGUUUUGAGAGAUGCCUGUGUCACCUCUCUGCUCCCUGGCACAUCUGGGGCCAGUGGGGAUUGGAGACAUGGCCUGGAAGCCUGGGCCAGCUGAGGGAUAGAGCCCUGGGGUGUGGGGCAUAAUGGUGUCCCAGAAGAAUGUACCUUGAAAUCUUGGAUGAAGCAUUUUGCAGAGGUGUUCCCACAAUACUGGUUCUCUGGAGCAUCAUCAUUGAAGCCUUUUACCUAGAUUGUAUUUUUUUAUCUAAUGUUUUAAGAACCCGCAUCCACACAGACUGCCACUUCCGUUAUUAUGUAGAUAGGCACUAACUUUAUUUUCCUUUAUAUGGCUGCAAAGGAUAGAGAAUGAAUUCCUGAAUAGUUAGGCACUAUUACCUAACUCAGGUAGGAUUUGCCAGUAAGGUCCCUUGGCAGGAUGGCUUACAGAAUAUACAUGCAUUUAUAUUUUAAAUUUUUGAUGCUCAAAUGCCAUUCUAAUUUUGAAAAAGGCAUUGUACAUGCUUGAAUAGAUUUUCUAAAUGCCACUGUCUCUUGCAACAUAUUUUUUUCUUCCCUGUAAGUGCUGUGGCUCAGUCUGGGUUGGUCUCUCUCAUCCUCUCCCAGUCUGACUGCAUAAUUCUUCAUUUAAGCUCAUAAAUAGAUUUUUAAAAGCAACUUCCUCAUCAUUUGAUAAAGAAUGUUGAUAAAGAAGUUCAGGAACAGAACCUGCUUUUUAUCCCCUCUGCUAUUUUCUGCUGUUUAUUUCCCACCAGCUCUUUCCUUCCACAUGCUGCCUCAUUUUGGUGGCAUGUUCUUGUUUCUGUUUCAGAGCUGUGAGGCCACUGAGGCAUGGUCAAAACCAGACUUGCUGAAACAAACUUGGUCACAAAGACUGAGAGAAUCCUACCUUCAUUUGGUCAAAAUUUGCUGUGAAUUGCCAGUUAUGUCCUGUUUCAGGGCACCAGUUCUGUAUAUCCUAUUGUUAGGAUAAUUUUUUAUUUGAAUUUGAAUUUCUGAGUUGAUAAAAAACUCCUGUAGCAUAGAAACAAAGGAUCAGAUGACUUGCCUAAAGCAUUUUAGUUCUUGUUAAGUGAUGUCCCUAGAUCAGAACAAGCAUCCUCAUACAGAGCUAAUUGUAGAGAAAUAAUUAAACAAAAAUCCAGGGCUUGGCUGCUAUCACUGACAAGACAGAUGUAUUUUCUAGCCUGAAGGUUUUUCUCUGACUCCUUUGAUAACUACCUUUUCUUAUUUCCACUGAAAUCAAUGCUCUCUAGUUUAAUACCUUCUAGUGCAUGGUUUGUAUGAUGAUUUUGGGUUUGUCAGGGGUUCCUGCUGAAGCUACUUAAUUUCAAUAUAAUAUAUCAGCUAUGCAUAUCUUAAUUUAAGAUUCAUAAGUUUUGAUGUGAACACAUUUUUAUGGAGACCAUAUUUGCCAUUGUCUUAAUGCAAGUUACAGACUAUGACUGUGUGGCGUAUUAGUCUAGGGAACUAAUUAGUCUAGGGAGCCCAGGGGCCUGUUUGAGUUCCUGAUCUGGGUUGUCGCCUGAAGCCACAUCUUGACUGCAGGUGGGGGGAGGCUCAGUGGUGCAGCAGCAUCUACCCUUAACCUCCUCUGCAUGGCAAGAAACCCUAGGAAUGUGUUUCUUCCCUGGCCGGAGCUCUGGCAUGCAGGAGAGAUGGGCAAUCAAGCUGCAGGAAAGAGUGUGAAAAAUCCAAGCUGGGAUACAGGUACAGCCUUGGCUCUCAGAUGCCAUUUCUGAACCUCUAGGUUUCACACAGUCAAAAUUAAAAGACAAUUUUAAACUCUAUCAUAUAGCAUAAACAUUUAGCAAAGAGAAGCUGAAUAAAAAGAACUUCAAGUAGAUUAAAAUGAUUUACAGCAAAUCUCUUUAAUGUUUAUCUUUGAUGUUUCAAUGAGACAGUGCUGCAUCAAAGGAUCUCAACCUAUGCAUGACUAUUCAAGAGGAAGCUACAGAUUACAUUAGUGCUCAUAGAUUCAGUCUAAUGCCUUCAAUGUAUAUAAAACUGCCAAGAAAUGUUAAGUGAAGUAAGCAAUCAGCUUGAUUACCAGGUUUCAUUUUUAUUCAUGACAUGACCAUAUCAGACUUUUUCUCUCAGUCAUGUUAGGAAACCCAUUUCUUAACCCUUUCUCUAUUAACGAAGUUUUCUCUCCAACAUUAUUAGAGGUGAUUGGGCCAAUUUUUUUUUCUUAGAAGUACUCAGGAGUGAAGGAUGCUACUGUUCUUUAUAGAAAAGAAUUAAUGGAGAGAAUUUAAUGUACAACCUUCCCUUGCCAAGUGUGUUCUUUGAUUUUGACUUCCCUACUUAUGGGGAAUGUGGAGAAUCACAGGAUAUUGCACAAUUUGCUCUUUAAAAGACAGAUUUGUGAGCUUUUACUUGGCUUUUCCUUUAGGAAAUCCUGGCAAUAGAGCAGCACUAUAAGCUCUCCUGAGCAAUACAUAAAAUGAUUGAUAAUUCACUUCAAAAUAUCUGUCUGCUUUUACUGUCUUGAGGCCAUAGUGUUUCACCUAGCUCAGAAGUACUUCUCCCUGCCUGUAUCUACAGGCUGUCUUUAAUCUCAGAUUGAUAAUUGCUUCAAAGACAGUAUGUAUUCAAACAUGAAGGACUAUUUAAAAGAUGCAUCUACUGCUUGAGCUCUGAGCUACUGGAUUGGCACUGAAGAGAGAACUCCAGCCAUAGAAGCACUGUAAUGUGAAUGUAAAUAUAACCUGUCAGGAACAGGAAUUUGGCUUGAUCAGUCUGCGUUCACAUGAAAGUUAGGAAAUGAUUGCCACAGUUCUCUUUUUCACGGCUGUGGAGUGAAAAUAGCCCAAACUGGUAUCAUCUACAUCUGCAUUGAUAGCCAGCCCAAGUACAAACCAUGUGAAUCUGAACUGGAAUAUGUAGUCAUGGUGCAAAUUAAAUUUUUUUUCCUAACAGAAUGUGCUGUUUGACAGUAUUUUGAAUGUAUUUGAUUUCUUCUGCUUUCAGCGUAUCUGUAGGAAGAUGUGCCAGCAAUGGGCUGUGGCAGUGAAGAGUGGAGGGGAAACAGAAAAUUAGCAGUAGACAAUCACAUGCUGCUGUGAGGUUAAUGUGCUUGAUCAUAUGGAUCUGAAUGCAAAUUUGUGGUACUUUAUACCAGGCCAGAAAUGCACUCAAACUCUAUUGUUUAAAACUAUGUCAAUUUAGACAUAGUUUUUUGCCCCCUCAAUUUCUAUUUUGGUCGACACACUGCCUACGUAACUUACUAUUCAGCGUCCCAUAGCUGGUAUUUGGAAAGCAUGAGUUUAUGGAACAUGACUUCUCAUGAUAUUCUCUAUAUUUGCUACUUAAAGAUUGCUACAAACAGGUGAAGCAGUUCUGCUUUUUAUUUAAUAUGAUACAUCUUUUUUUCUUUCCAACUAAUCUAUUUAAAUGGAUUUUUUUCCUUUCCCAGGAUGCUUAUAUGCCAUUUUAAACUAGGAAACACUUCUUGUACAGGGAAAGUUACAUGUGGCCUGUAGUUGUGUCUUAGGAGAUGAGAAGAGGAUUCAUUUUUGUCCCAAGUAUUUUUACAUGAUACUGAUUUUCAGAAGUUUUGGUCUUCUCACUGUGGGUCAAAUAGCUCAAUGCCACAGUGUUGAUUUUGGAAGACUCUUAUCAACUGCCUUAGAAGUCUUAAAACUUUAAUCCUUUAUCAUUUUGGAUACCAAAUGGCAUACUCAAAGCUGGUCUUACAGUACUAGUAGUAGGAGAUGCAUAUGAAAAUGUAACUCUAAAUUUUAUUGAAUAGGAUUUAGGUUUGUCAUUAGGCUCACUAGAGGGAACAGGUCAUACAUGUAGGCAUGCACUGCAGGUAAAGAUGUGAAAAAGUACAUUUAGUAGGAUAUUUUUAUGAAGAGUCUUGUGAGCAAACACAUUUUAGCACCUGCUGAGAAUAUGUGUUUUCUUUCUCUGGGGACUGUGCAAAAAGCUGCACUUCUGCUUUUCUGUUUUACUGUCAUCCGUUUCAUGUGCAUACAGAAAGAAAAAAUUUGCUCCUACAGACACACUAAUUAUUCAGUGUCAAAGCAUUUGGGAUCAGAUUGUCUCACAGGCAGCGACCUGUGCUGGAGCCAGCUGAUACCCACAGUGAUUCUCGGGAACAGCUCUGCUUGUGCUGCAAAUCUGGUCCCCUUCCAGCAGAUACAAGUGACUGCAGUGGAGAUACUCCUAAGUGGCCAGCUUAAUCUCCCUCUGACCCUAACCAUGGAAGGGAGGCUGUUCACGGAAGGGACACAGGGUUCUUUGCAGCCUGGCAAGCCAUGCUUGUUUCUGACUUUGCUGCAGAGCUUGUAUUCCCUGCUCUCCCUCCUCACCCCUUGUUGCAGUAGGAUUAAAUGGGACAAGUCUGCUUUCCCAUCCACCCUCCUGUGGAUUUACCCUGAGGUAAAUCCUGUUUUCUAAAAAAAACCUGAGAUUUUUCACCCUGGGGAGCAGCUUGGGGUAUUGGGCCCUGGCAUUGAGAAUGAGACUCAGGACAGGGAAGGAUGAGGGAGAAGCAGUCGUUUGUGUCCUUCCUUUCAGUAGGUGCUUAUGAGCAUCAGUCAGCAUUUAGGCAUGGAUGGUGAAUGGUCUAAAUAUGUCUGUGUCCCUGCUGAUGAAAUUGCUCACACAGACAAAAGGCUGCACAAGUUUUUAAAAUUUCAAAGUGAAAGAAAUGUCUUGAAAUAAGGUUAUUUUUGUAUAAUGCCUUCAGUAUCUGGAAAAUGCUGAAAACCUAAAUUUUUAAACUACUUUCCCACCCUGGUCUGUAAUACAUACAGCCAAAGGGAAAGGGGUUGGUGGGUGUAUUCUCACACAGUUUGGUAAUCUGACCAGAAUUAUGCUUCCUGAGCAUUUUCCUAUUCCUGCUUAAGAACAGGAAAAAUAAUUUUGUCUGUAGUCUUUUCUGUUUUCAUGUGUUUCCAUCUGCUUGAGACUGCUCUAUCAUGUUUCCUGAAUAACUGGGAUUGGCUGACGCUGUAUUCUGGAAGCAGAGAUGUUACUGAACAGAAAAAGUUUCAAAAAUCUUUCUCACAAAAAAUGUAGUGGAUUUGAAUACCACCUUCCAACACCUCAAAAAACUCCCAGUAAAAUGAUCAGGGAGAUAGGAGACAUUCUAAAGAAAGAAAAUAUUAUCUUAAUAAGCAUCAAGCUACUAUUUGAAAUAAUAGCAAGAGAACAUUUUAUGACCACAGAUAAACUCUUUAAUGGAAUACUCUCUUCUGUGGAGAAAAAUUGUUUAGACUUUUAACUCCAGCCAUGAAAUUUUUCUGUUGUUUACAGUUGCAAAUUUUGUGGAUUAUUGCUAAGGAUAUGUUUGCACAGUUGGUAACUUUAAUUGCAUUAAGACCACAAAAUUGUAGCAGAUGAAUUUGAGUCCAGCACUAUAUCAGAGAGGGUUAUUAUUUUUGUAGAUCCUAAUAUGAAGCAUUUAUUGCUGUAGUACAUCAUUUAACAGAGUUACUUUAUAAGUUUGUGGUUGUAUGAUCCUGCAUCUUUCCACUCUCAGAGGAUAUUGGGAGAAAAAGUCUAUAUUUACUGUCAAACACUGGAUUCCAGAACAACUUCCCUUCAGAUUUAAAAUACAAAUGGAAAAUACAAAAGUCAGAAAUAAAGAAAGAAAAUGACAGACGUCUGUAAGGAAAAGUAUAAAUGUAAAUUUGAAUAUCCAUUAUACUCCAUUGUAUUUAUUAACAAAACAACAAAAAAUUAACAAUUUUUUAUAUAGUGUUCUAAUAGAGAACAAGAAGGUCACUGCAUUGAGGAAAUUACCAUCUAAAAUAUUUUGUUAUUGAAGAAAGUUUCUGACUUUCUUUCUCUUCACUGAAGGUGAUAGCUGUACAAGAUUUUAAAUUUCUGGUUAUUAGUGAAUUUUACCAACAUCUGCAGCAUAGAUUUAGAUAUUUAAUGCCUUUUUCUGUAUUGUAGCUAUCUGUCUGGGGUUAUGUCGUACACUUGAAACUGUCCUGUUUGUUUGGUCAUGGUAUUGAGUCAGGAUUAUGUUUAUAAACAGACUGAUGAGUGCAGACUAGUUUGCUAUGCACUGUUUGUAAUUUGAAACUACUCACAAGGUGUAUGUUAUUUGUGUAGCUUUUGCUAUAAAAUGUUCAUAUUAGUUAACAAAUAGGAAGACAAUACAGUAGAGUCUUCCAGGGAGAAGUUAUUGGUUUUUAAGGUAUCUUUUCCUUGAGUGUUGUGAUUUCUUUCGAGCUUAACCUUUCCUUGAGGUCGGUUAACCUUCAUCAUUCUGUUCACAGGAGAAUUGCUCCUUUUAUGAAAAAAACUACUCAGAGUAUCACGAGGCUUCUAAAGAAAUUAUAGAUUUCUAUUAUUAUUCUCAUUCCUGGUGGAACUGAUACUACCUGAGUCGAAGUGCACUGUGUAAUUUCAUUUGUUUCAGGUGGUCUGUGGGGUGCUGCUCCAGCCCAGCAGUGACGUACUGCUCACACACGUGUAUGGAGGCACCCACCCGUACCCAUUCGCUCGUUCUUCUCUUCCUUGACACUGAACUUUGAGCUGACCCAGAACUGCUUUGCUUUGAGAAAGCUGAUACACAAGGAUGUCAGAGUAGAAGGAAAUGCUGUGAUAGAGGAAGGACAAUUUGAGCUUGGUGUAGUAUGAGUUCUAAGCCUAAGCCUGGGUGUGUGCUGGAGCUAUGCCGUGGGGCUGUGUUUCAAAAUGUUCUUGGGGCAUUGGUUGUGAAUGAGCAACACUUCAAAGCUGCCCAGAAAGUGGUGCUUUCCCAGAAACGGGUGCUCCAUCCUGUGGACUCGGCAAGGUACAUGACAGGUUAUUCCCUGAGCCAGAAGAAUGAAAUGAGGAACUAAUAUACUGAUAAAGCCCAGCUGCACUGAGAAGCCUCCUCUGAAGCUGUUUCAAAUGUCUGGUUGCUGCAGCCCCAACUGUCUGGCUUGCAGCUGCAUCUGACCCUCCUGCUAUGGUCCCUUAACUUCUUGCAGCUCGUCUUGUAACUUCUCUACUUUGCUUGUCUUGAUGGCCUCAUUUUUAAGUACUGCAGUUCUCAUUGUUUAGUAUCAUCUCAACCUGUUCUUUUCUCAUUUCUGAACUGAAUAAAGCUUACAUGAUUUGGUUUUAUA